rnacentral:rRNA from 1 species
GAUGAACGCUAGCGGGAGGCUUAACACAUGCAAGUCGAGGGGCAGCAUAGGGUAGCAAUACUCUGAUGGCGACCGGCAAACGGGUGAGUAACGCGUAUGCAACCUACCCUGUACAGGGGGAUAACCCGGAGAAAUUCGGACUAAUAUCCCGUAAUAAUAUCCGGAGGCAUCUUUGGAUAUUUAAAGUUCCGACGGUACGGGAUGGGCAUGCGUAACAUUAACUGGUUGGUAAGGUAACGGCUUACCAAGGCUAUGAUGUUUAGGGGUCCUGAGAGGGUGGUCCCCCAACUGGUACUGAGACACGGACCAGACUCCUACGGGAGGCAGCAGUGAGGAAUAUUGGUCAAUGGGGCCAAGCCUGAACCAGCCAUCCCGCGUGCAGGAAGACGGCCCUAUGGGUUGUAAACUGCUUUUCCAGGGAGAGAAACUUACGCACGUGUUGCGUGACUGACGGUACCCUGGGAAUAAGCAUCGGCUAACUCCGUG